GAUGAACGCUGGCGGCGUGCCUAAUACAUGCAAGUCGAGCGAACAGACGAGGAGCUUGCUCCUCUGACGUUAGCGGCGGACGGGUGAGUAACACGUGGAUAACCUACCUAUAAGACUGGGAUAACUUCGGGAAACCGGAGCUAAUACCGGAUAAUAUAUUGAACCGCAUGGUUCAAUAGUGAGAGACGGUUUUGCUGUCACUUAUAGAUGGAUCCGCGCCGCAUUAGCUAGUUGGUAAGGUAACGGCUUACCAAGGCAACGUUGCGUAGCCGACCUGAGAGGGUGAUCGGCCACACUGGAACUGAGACACGGUCCAGACUCCUACGGGAGGCAGCAGUAGGGAAUCUUCCGCAAUGGGCGAAAGCCUGACGGAGCAACGCCGCGUGAGUGAUGAAGGUCUUCGGAUCGUAAAACUCUGUUAUUAGGGAAGAACAAAUGUGUAAGUAACUAUGCACGUCUUGACGGUACCUAAUCAGAAAGCCACGGCUAACUACGUG
rnacentral:rRNA from 1 species